rnacentral:rRNA from 1 species
AUUGAACGCUGGCGGCAUGCCUUACACAUGCAAGUCGAACGGUAACAGGUCUUCGGACGCUGGCGACCGGCGCACGGGUGAGUAACACGUAUCCAACCUGCCGAUGACUCGGGGAUAGCCUUUCGAAAGAAAGAUUAAUACCCGAUGGCAUAGUUCUUCCGCAUGGUAGAACUAUUAAAGAAUUUCGGUCAUCGAUGGGGAUGCGUUCCAUUAGGUUGUUGGCGGGGUAACGGCCCACCAAGCCUUCGAUGGAUAGGGGUUCUGAGAGGAAGGUCCCCCACAUUGGAACUGAGACACGGUCCAA